rnacentral:rRNA from 1 species
GACGAACGCUGGCGGCGUGCCUAACACAUGCAAGUCGAACGGAGAGAUACGAGAGCUUGCUCUUGUAACUCUUAGUGGCAAACGGGUGAGUAACGCGUAAACAACCUGCCCAACGGAUGGGGACAACAGACGGAAACGACUGCUAAUACCCAAUAGACUCCGGUUUCGCAUGAAACCGACAGGAAAGGUGGCCUCUCGAAGAAGCUACCGCCGCAGGAGGGGUUUGCGUUUGAUUAGUUAGUUGGUGGGGUAACGGCCUACCAAGACGAUGAUCAAUAGCCGGUCGGAGAGGAUGGACGGCCACACUGGGACGGAGACACGGUCCAGACGCCUACGGGAGGCAGCAGGGGGGAAUCUUCCGCAAUGGGCGAAAGUCUGACGGAGCAACGCCGCGUGAGUGAAGAAGGCCUUCGGGUUGGAAAGCUCGGUUAUUCGGGAAGAACGAUUCGUUUGUAAAUAAUGAACGGAAGUGACGGUACCGAAAGAGAAAGCCACGGCUAACUACGUG